UACAGAGGGGGCAAGCGUUGUUCGGAAUUACUGGGCGUAAAGGGCGCGUAGGCGGCCUGCUAAGUCGAACGUGAAAUCCCCAGGCUUAACCUGGGAACUGCGUCUGAUACUGGAAGGCUCGAGUUCGGGAGAGGAAUGUGGAAUUCCAGGUGUAGCGGUGAAAUGCGUAGAUAUCUGGAGGAACACCGGUGGCGAAGGCGGCAUUCUGGACCGAAACUGACGCUGAGGCGCGAAAGCCAGGGGAGCAAACGGG
rnacentral:rRNA from 1 species